GGACAUAUUGAGUAUUUAUGCCAAGUUUGGUCCAGAUCCAUCAUUGUUUGAGUCCACAGUGCUCUCUGGAUGUAGGUGAACUACAACUCCCAAACUCAAGGUCUAUGCCCACCAAACCCUUCCAGUGUGUUCUGGUCAUGGGAAUUCUGUACCAAGUUUGGUUCAAUUCCAUUGUUGGUGGAGUUCAGAAUGCUCUUUCAUUGUAGGUGAACUAUAAAUCCCAGCAACGACAACUCCCAAAUGUCAAGGGCUAUUUUCCCUAUAUUCCACUAGUGUUCACAUUUGGGCAUAUUGGGUAUUCAUGCCAAGUAUGGUCCAGAUCUAUCAUUGUUUGAGUCCGCAGUGCUCUCUGGAUAUAGAUGAACUACAACUCCUAAACUCAAGGUCUAUGCCCACCAAACCCUUCCAGUAUUUUCUGUUGGUGGUGGGAAUUCUGUGUGCCAAGGAAGGUUGCGAAACACUGAUCUAAUGGGACUGGACUAGAUGGCCUUUGGAGUACCUUCUCAGCUAUAUGACUGAGGAACUAUGGAAAAGCAGUUGUCAACAAAGGAAUUUUCCCAAGCUGUCACAUAGGAUCCAUCUACACUGUAGAAUUAAUGCAACCUGAUACUGUUUAAACUGCCGCGUGAGUUGUAGUUGCACAAGGUCUUCAAUCUUCUCUGCCAAUUGAAGAUGAGCACCUCCCCAAACUACAACUCCCAAUAUUCCAUAGCAAUGAUCCAUGGUAGUCAAAGUGGUGUCAAACUGCAUUCAUUCUACAGUGUAGAUAUAUCUAAAGGCAAAAAUCAAAAUGCUUGUCCCACAUGAAUUGGUUAAGUACUAUUGAGACUUAAAAACAUACAACUUGGAAGCAAGAAAUCCUCUAUUUGCAGACUCCGGAUGUUUGGCUCCCUGGUAUCUCUGGAUGUGGCAUUUAUGGAAUGAGUACUAUGGGGAGGAAAGACUAAAAAUGGGGAUUGUAUGGAGGUGGGUUGUGUCUCCCAGUUCUCCUCCUUCUCGACAUGAACUUGUGGCGAUUGAGAAGGAGAUCAAGGUCAAGGAGGGGAAAAAGGAACUUUUGUAACUCUUCCGGCUCUAGCAAGGACCUCUUCUUUUGUACACAAUGGUUGUAAAUAAAACUGCCGACAUUCCUUUUCUUUCUGA